rnacentral:rRNA from 1 species
AGCAGCCCGCGGUAAUACGUAGGUGGCAAGCGUUGUCCGGAAUUAUUGGGCGUAAAGGGCUCGCAGGCGGUUUCUUAAGUCUGAUGUGAAAGCCCCCGGCUCAACCGGGGAGGGUCAUUGGAAACUGGGGAACUUGAGUGCAGAAGAGGAGAGUGGAAUUCCACGUGUAGCGGUGAAAUGCGUAGAGAUGUGGAGGAACACCAGUGGCGAAGGCGACUCUCUGGUCUGUAACUGACGCUGAGGAGCGAAAGCGUGGGGAGCGAACAGGAUUAGAUACCCUGGUAGUCCACGCCGUAAACGAUGAGUGCUAAGUGUUAGGGGGUUUCCGCCCCUUAGUGCUGCAGCUAACGCAUAAGCACUC